rnacentral:rRNA from 1 species
AACGAACGCUGGCGGCAGGCCUAACACAUGCAAGUCGAGCGAGGACUUCGGUCCUAGCGGCGGACGGGUGAGUAACGCGUGGGAACGUGCCCUUUGCUUCGGAAUAGCCCUGGGAAACUGGGAGUAAUACCGGAUGAGCCCUUUGGGGGAAAGAUUUAUCGGCGAAGGAUCGGCCCGCGUUGGAUUAGGUAGUUGGUGGGGUAAUGGCCUACCAAGCCGACGAUCCAUAGCUGGUUUGAGAGGAUGAUCAGCCACACUGGGACUGAGACACGGCCCAGACUCCUACGGGAGGCAGCAGUGGGGAAUCUGAGACAAUGGGGGAAACCCUGAUCUAGCCAUGCCGCGUGAGCGAUGAAGGCCUUAGGGUUGUAAAGCUCUUUCAGCUGGGAAGAUAAUGACGGUACCAGCAGAAGAAGCCCCGGCUAACUCCGU